rnacentral:rRNA from 1 species
CCUACGGGAGGCAGCAGUGGGGAAUCUUGGGCAAUGGCCGAAAGGCUGACCCAGCGACGCCGCGUGGGGGAAGAAGGCCUUCGGGUCGUAAACCCCUGUCAGGGAGGAAGAAGGCUUACGGGUUAAUAGCCCGUGGAGUUUGACGGUACUCCCAGAGGAAGCCACGGCUAACUCCGUGCCAGCAGCCGCGGUAAU